UACGAGGGGUGCAAGCGUUACUCGGAAUUACUGGGCGUAAAGCGUGCGUAGGUGGUUCGUUAAGUCUGAUGUGAAAGCCCACGGCUCAACCGUGGAAGGUCAUUGGAAACUGGAGGACUUGAGUACAGAAGAGGAAAGCGGAAUUCCACGUGUAGCGGUUAAAUGCGUAGAGAUGUGGAGGAACACCAGUGGCGAAGGCAGCCUCCUGGGCCAGCACUGACGCUCAUGCACGAAAGCGUGGGGAGCAAACAGG
rnacentral:rRNA from 1 species